rnacentral:rRNA from 1 species
UACGAAGGGGGCGAGCGUUGUUCGGAUUUAUUGGGCGUAAAGGGCGUGUAGGCGGGUUCUUAAGUCAGGAGUGAAAUCCCUCGGCUCAACCGAGGAAUUGCUUUUGAAACUGGGGACCUUGAGUGCGGGAGAGGGAAGUGGAAUUCCCAGUGUAGCGGUGAAAUGCGUAGAUAUUGGGAAGAACACCGGUGGCGAAGGCGGCUUCCUGGACCGUAACUGACGCUAAAGCGCGAAAGCGUGGGGAG